UACGUAGGGUGCAAGCGUUGUCCGGAAUUAUUGGGCGUAAAGAGCUCGUAGGCGGUUUGUCGCGUCGAAUGUGAAAACCCGGGGCUCAACCCCGGGCCUGCAUUCGAUACGGGCAGACUAGAGUUCGGUAGGGAGUCGUGGAAUUCCUGGUGUAGGCGGUGAAAUGCGCAGAUAUCAGGAGGAACACCCGGUGGCGAAGGCGGGUCUCUGGGCCGAUACUGACGCUGAGGAGCGAAAGCGUGGGAGCGAACAGG
rnacentral:rRNA from 1 species